GGAGAAUGAGCUUGGAGCGAAGGGGCUUAACCCAGCGCGGCUCAGAGAACGGUGAUCUGUAAAUUCUCAGAGGAUACUGAAGCUUCCUGAAUAUGCCCACUUCUCAAAACAUAAGCAACAAACCAAAAGGACUUCAUGUGAAAUUAUUGACUACUCUGUGCCUCUCAGCCUCAAUUAACCCCUAAUUCUAUGCACCUGGGAGCCAAAGCAAACCAUAAGGAGCCACAAGCACUACCCUGAUGAAGCAUCUCUGGAAGGAGGUCUCACAUGGUGAGACAAGAAGGUUAAAGGGGCUGGAGUGGAGUAAAUGCCAU